GACGAACGCUGGCGGCGUGCUUAACACAUGCAAGUCGAACGGAAAGGCCCUGCUUUUGUGGGGUGCUCGAGUGGCGAACGGGUGAGUAACACGUGAGUAACCUGCCCUUGACUUUGGGAUAACUUCAGGAAACUGGGGCUAAUACCGGAUAGGAGCUCCUGCUGCAUGGUGGGGGUUGGAAAGUUUCGGCGGUUGGGGAUAGACUCGCGGCUUAUCAGCUUGUUGGGGGGGUAGUGGCUUACCAAGGCUUUGACGGGUAGCCGGCCUGAGAGGGUGACCGGCCACAUUGGGACUGAGAUACGGCCCAGACUCCUACGGGAGGCAGCAGUGGGGAAUAUUGCACAAUGGGCGGAAGCCUGAUGCAGCAACGCCGCGUGCGGGAUGACGGCCUUCGGGUUGUAAACCGCUUUCGCCUGUGACGAAGCGUGAGUGACGGUAAUGGGUAAAGAAGCACCGGCUAACUACGUG
rnacentral:rRNA from 1 species